UACGGGGGAUGCAAGUGUUAUCCGGAAUAAUUGGGCGUAAAGCGUCUGUAGGUGGUUUACCAAGUCUGUUGUUAAAAAUCAGGGCUCAACCCUGAUCCGGCAACAGAAACUAGUAGACUUGAGUACGGUAGGGGCAGAGGGAAUUCUCGGUGUAGUGGUGAAAUACGUAGAUAUCGAGAAGAACACCAAUAGCGAAAGCACUCUGCUGGGCCGAAACUGACAUUGAGAGACGAAAGCUAGGGGAGCAAAAGGG
rnacentral:rRNA from 1 species